AUGAGAGGCACGACUGGUAUUGAAUGAGCUCUUUAUGUCUCUGAACUGUUGUAUAUGUAAGUGUAGUCUUGUGUGUUUAUUCUCAAUUUGAAUACUGAGAUGGAUAACGUACGUGAUUUUGUGUUGGAUGUUUUCUCUGAAGUUUUGGUCCGAAGAAGCAUUUUUGUCCUGAAGAUUUUCAAGAAAUAAAUUUGUUACCGAUGAUUACCAAUUUUCAGAAGGUUGUUUAUAGAUGACUUUUCUCUUGAUGUUUUUUAAAAAUCCAGGAGGCUACCGUGAUUUCCUUGAAAUUGAUGUUUGAUACUCUACCACAGGAAGUAACUAAAGCUAGUUUGAAAGAAUAUACCUAGCAGCAGAAUACCGAUUAUGAUUUUACAGCUUGAUACUCUACUGUUGAAAAUUACUUAUGUUAGAUUGAAAGAAUAUACCUUGCAGCAAAAUAUUGAUUAUUACUUUAAAGUUUAGUGAUUGGCUUUGUACUGGAUACUUCAACGUCGUAUAGUAACCGUGAGGACCGUAUUUGCCAAGAGCUCCAAUUUUGACCUAUUUUCCAUGAGAAACAUUUGUGCCAAGAUGUCCUCAAUUACUAACACAGCUGCCAAGAUAACCAUGUGUGCAAGGAUUACUGACCUAGUUGCCAUGUGAUGAUCUCAAUAAAUGACCUAGUUGCCAUGAGGACCAUAUGUGCCAAGAUGAUCCCAAUAAAUGACCUAGUUGCCAUGAGGACCAUGUGUGCCAAGAUGACUUUCUUAAGUUUCCUAGUUGUCAUGACCUAGCUGUAGAGUUAAACCAACUUUAUUUCUUCACCUCAAGGUUUAUUUUUAUGUUCUCCUCUAAUAUGAAGAUUCCACACUUGUAUUUUAUGAAUAUUGUAAUUUAGUUUUUUCUCCUAAAAAUUAAGCUACAUACUUUUUAAUGAAACUUAAGAAAUCGAAAUCCAUAUUUUGAAAUACCUUGCAUGCAAUUUAAGAAUACUCAGUAUUAAAGUAAAUUUAUUUCUAAUAUUUUCUUAAAUACGAAAAAUAAUUAAUCUUAUUAAUCUAAAGUUUAUUCUAUUAAAAAUUUUAUUCAUGGAUUAUUUUAAUAGUCAAUAAUUUAUUCAUUAAAUAUCAUAAAUUAAAUUUCAAGUCUUAGAGAACGUGCAUCUAAUUUGCGUACACUAAGUACUUCAUUGAUCCUGCUUAGUGUAUGUACGUACAAUUGCGUGUCAAAACGUUUUAUGACAAGCUUAUUGUUAGCUAUUGCUCGUUAUAAAUUAUGACUUAA